rnacentral:misc_RNA from 1 species
GAUGAAGAACGCAGUGAAAUGCGAUAAGUAAUGUGAAUUGCAGAAUUCAGUGAAUCAUCGAAUCUUUGAACGCACAUUGCGCCCGCCAGUAUUCUGGCGGGCAUGCCUGUCCGAGCGUCAUUUCAACCAUCAAGCCCCGGGCUUGUGUUGGGGACCUGCGUCCGACGCAGGCCCUGAAAACCAGUGGCGGGCUCGCUGUCCACACCGAGCGUAGUAACUAACCUCGCUAUGGAGUGGCGCGGGCGCCUGCCGUAAAACCCCCAAUUUCACAAGGUUGACCUCGGAUCAGGUAGGGAUACCCGCUGAACUUAAGCAUAUCAAUAAGCGGAGGA